rnacentral:rRNA from 1 species
AUCCUGGCUCAGGAUGAACGCUAGCGGCAGGCCUAACACAUGCAAGUCGAGGGGUAACAGGGAGCUUGCUCUGCUGACGACCGGCGCACGGGUGCGUAACGCGUAUAGAAUCUACCUUGUACUGAGGAAUAGCCUUUGGAAACGAAGAUUAAUGCCUCAUAGUAUGUUAAGUUCGCAUGAACACUACAUUAAAGGUUACGGUAUAAGAUGACUAUGCGUUCUAUUAGCUAGAUGGUGUGGUAACGGCACACCAUGGCGACGAUAGAUAGGGGCCCUGAGAGGGGGAUCCCCCACACUGGUACUGAGACACGGACCAGACUCCUACGGGAGGCAGCAGUGAGGAAUAUUGGACAAUGGAGGCAACUCUGAUCCAGCCAUGCCGCGUGCAGGAAGACUGCCCUAUGGGUUGUAAACUGCUUUUAUAUAGGAAGAAACCUUUCCACGUGUGGAGAGCUGACGGUACUAUAAGAAUAAGGAUCGGCUAACUCCGUGCCAGCAGCCGCGGUAAUACGGAGGAUCCAAGCGUUAUCCGGAAUCAUUGGGUUUAAAGGGUCCGUAGGUGGAUAAUUAAGUCAGAGGUGAAAGUUUGCGGCUCAACCGUAAAAUUGCCUUUGAUACUGGUUAUCUUGAAUCAUUGUGAAGUGGUUAGAAUAUGUAGUGUAGCGGUGAAAUGCAUAGAUAUUACAUAGAAUACCAAUUGCGAAGGCAGAUUACUAAUAAUCAACUGACACUGAUGGACGAAAGCGUGGGGAGCGAACAGGAUUAGAUACCCUGGUAGUCCACGCCGUAAACGAUGAGAGCUAGUUGUCUGGCAGCAUGCUGUUAGGUGACGCAGCUAACGCAUUAAGCUCUCCGCCUGGGGAGUACGGCCGCAAGGUUAAAACUCAAAGAAAUUGACGGGGGCCCGCACAAGCGGUGGAGCAUG